GCUGGGAUAGCUCAGUUGGUAGAGCAUCUCCAUGGUAAGGAGAAGGUCGUGGGUUCAAAUCCCAUUCCCAGCU
rfam:Elusimicrobia bacterium RBG_16_66_12 RBG_16_scaffold_15888, whole genome shotgun sequence.